ACGGGUGAGUAACGCUUGGGAAUCUGCCUGUUAGUGGGGGACAACCCGGGGAAACUCGGGCUAAUACCGCAUACGCACUACGGUGGAAAGCCGGGGACCGCAAGGCCUGGCGCUAACAGAUGAGCCCAAGUCGGAUUAGCUAGUUGGUAGGGUAACGGCCUACCAAGGCGACGAUCCGUAACUGGUCUGAGAGGACGACCAGUCACACCGGAACUGAGACACGGUCCGGACUCCUACGGGAGGCAGCAGUGGGGAAUAUUGGACAAUGGGGGCAACCCUGAUCCAGCGACGCCGCGUGGGUGAAGAAGGCCUGCGGGUUGUAAAGCCCUUUCGGUUGGGAAGAAAAGCUCUGAUCUAACACAUCGGGGCCUUGACGUAACCAACUAAAGAAGCACCGGCUAACUCUGUGCCAGCAGCCGCGGUAAUACAGAGGGUGCGAGCGUUAAUCGGAAUUACUGGGCGUAAAGCGCGCGUAGGCGGCUUUUCAAGUCGAUUGUGAAAUCCCCGGGCUUAACCUGGGAACUGCAGUCGAGACUGUCUAGCUAGAGUAUGGGAGAGGGAAGUGGAAUUUCAGGUGUAGCG
rnacentral:rRNA from 1 species